AAAGGUAUUGUUGUACAAGAUUCAUGUGUUGAAACAGAUACUUCUCUACACAAUUACAGCAAGGUUGGUUGGCUUUCUACUUAAGCUGUGGUGAGAAACACGGGCACUAAUUAAUAAUGUUGUAAUGUUUUCAGUUUCAAGGUAUUUUUCUACUAGAUUUCUGUGUUGAAGCAGA